GCGCUUUAAAGACUUUGUCGUAAACGAUUUAUCGUUUGUUUGAGCUUUUCGCAUACGCAAUCCGGCGAACAAUACUCUCAAAGUUUGACCUCAAAUCAGGUAGGAAUACCCGCUGAACUUAAGCAUAUCAAUAAGCGGAGGAAAAGAAACCAACCGGGAUUGCCUUAGUAACGGCGAGUGAAGCGGCAAAAGCUCAAAUUUGAAAUCUGGUACCUUCGGUGCCCGAGUUGUAAUUUGUAGAAGGUAACUUUGGGGCUGGUCCUUGUCUAUGUUCCUUGGAACAGGACGUCAUAGAGGGUGAGAAUCCCGUGUGGCGAGGAUCCCAGUUCUUUGUAAAGUGCUUUCGAAGAGUCGAGUUGUUUGGGAAUGCAGCUCUAAGUGGGUGGUAAAUUCCAUCUAAAGCUAAAUAUUGGCGAGAGACCGAUAGCGAACAAGUACAGUGAUGGAAAGAUGAAAAGAACUUUGAAAAGAGAGUGAAAAAGUACGUGAAAUUGUUGAAAGGGAAGGGCAUUUGAUCAGACAUGGUGUUUUGCGCCCUCUGCUCCUUGUGGGUGGGGGAAUCUCGCAGCUCACUGGGCCAGCAUCAGUUUUGGCGGCAGGAUAAAUCUGCAGGAAUGUAGCUUGCCUCGGUAAGUGUUAUAUCCUGUAGAAAUACUGCCAGCUGGGACUGAGGACUGCGACUUUACGUCAAGGAUGCUGGCAUAAUGGUUAUAUGCCGCCCGUCUUGAAACACGGACCAAGGAGUCUAACGUCUAUGCGAGUGUUUGGG
rnacentral:rRNA from 1 species